GGUUAAGUUAGAAAGGGCGCACGGUGGAUGCCUUGGCACUAGGAGCCGAUGAAGGACGGGACGAACACCGAUAUGCUUCGGGGAGCUGUAAGCAAGCUUUGAUCCGGAGAUUUC
rnacentral:rRNA from 1 species